GCAAGGAAUUUUGCGCAAUGGGCGAAAGCCUGACGCAGCAACGCCGCGUGAGGGAAGAAGGCCUUCGGGUUGUAAACCUCUUUUCUCAGGGAAGAAUAAUGACGGUACCUGAGGAAUAAGUCACGGCUAACUACGUGCCAGCAGCCGCGGUAAUACGUAGGUGGCAAGCGUUAUCCGGAUUCACUGGGCGUAAAGAGCACGCAGGCGGUCCUUCAAGUCGGAUGUUAAAUCUCCCGGCUUAACUGGGAGCUGUCAUUCGAUACUGCUGGACUUGAGGACAGUAGAGGGAGGUGGAAUUCCCGGUGUAGUGGUGAAAUGCGUAGAUAUCGGGAGGAACACCAGUGGCGAAAGCGGCCUCCUAGGCUGUUUCUGACGCUGAGGUGCGAAAGCGUGGGGAGCGAACAGGAUUAGAUACCCUAGUAGUCC
rnacentral:rRNA from 1 species